CCUACGGGAGGCAGCAGUGGGAAAUAUUGGACUAUGGGCGCAAGCCUGAUCCAGCAAUGCCGCGUGUGUGAAGAAGGCCUGCGGGUUGUAAAGCACUUUCAGUAGAGAAGAAAAGCCUAGGGUUAAUAUCCCUGAGUCUUGACGUAACCUACAGAAGAAGCACCGGCUAACUCCGUGCCAGCAGCCGCGGUAAUACGGAGGGUGCAAGCGUUAAUCGGAAUUACUGGGCGUAAAGCGCGCGUAGGCGGCUUGGUAAGUCGGAUGUGAAAGCCCAGGGCUUAACCUUGGAAUUGCAUGCGAUACUGCAUGGCUAGAGUAUGGUAGAGGGAAGUGGAAGUUCCGGUGUAGCGGUGAAAUGCGUAGAUAUCGGAAGGAACACCAGUGGCGAAGGCGACUUCCUGGGCCAAUACUGACGCUGAGGUGCGAAAGCGUGGGGAGCAUACAGGAUUAGAUACCCUGGUAGUCCACGCCGUAAACGAUGAGAACUAGAUGUCGGGAGGAUUUAGCCUUUCGGUGUCGCAGCUAACGCGUUAAGUUCUCCGCCUGGGGAGUACGCCGGCAACGGUAAAACUCAAAGGAAUUGACGGAA
rnacentral:rRNA from 1 species